rnacentral:rRNA from 1 species
GACGAACGCUGGCGGCGUGCUUAACACAUGCCAGUCGAACGAAGAGCGAUGGAAGCUUGCUUCUAUCAAUCUUAGUGGCGAACGGGUGAGUAACGCGUAAUCAACCUGCCCUUCAGAGGGGGACAACAGUUGGAAACGACUGCUAAUACCGCAUACGAUCUAAUCUCGGCAUCGAGGAUAGAUGAAAGGUGGCCUCUACAUGUAAGCUAUCACUGAAGGAGGGGAUUGCGUCUGAUUAGCUAGUUGGAGGGGUAACGGCCCACCAAGGCGAUGAUCAGUAGCCGGUCUGAGAGGAUGAACGGCCACAUUGGGACGGAGACACGGCACAGACUCCUACGGGAGGCAGCAGUGGGGAAUCUUCCGCAAUGGACGAAAGUCUGACGGAGCAACGCCGCGUGAGUGAUGACGGCCUUCGGGUUGUAAAGCUCUGUUAAUCGGGACGAAAGGCCUUCUUGCGAAUAGUGAGAAGGAUUGACGGUACCGGAAUAGAAAGCAACGGCUAACUACGUG